GAUGAAGAACGCAGCGAAAUGCGAUACUUGGUGUGAAUUGCAGAAUCCCGUGAACCAUCGAGUCUUUGAACGCAAGUUGCGCCCGAAGCCAUUAGGCCGAGGGCACGCCUGCCUGGGCGUCACACGUCGUUGCCCCCCCAUCUACUCCUUCGGGAUUGCGGGGGGCGGAUGAUGGCCUCCCGUGCGCCUCGCCGCGCGGUUGGCAUAAAUGCCAAGUCCUCGGCGACGCACGCCACGACAAUCGGUGGUUGCGAAACCUCGGUUGCCCGUCGUGUGCGGUCGUCGCGCAUCGAGGGCUCGAAAAAAUUGCCGGGUUCCGGCUCGGCUUUCAACGCAACCCCAGGUCAGGCGGGGUUACCCGCUGAAUUUAAGCAUAUCAAUAAGCGGAGGA
rnacentral:misc_RNA from 1 species